rnacentral:tRNA from 1 species
GCCCGGGUGGCGGAAUGGGUAGACGCAGCGGACUUAAAAUCCGCAGCCGCGAGGCAUGCCGGUUCGACCCCGGCCCCGGGUACCA